GUAUAAAAUGUUAGGUUGCACCCGAACUUAGCCUUUCCUUACUUGUUUGUAAUUAUUUUUAUAAAAAUUAAAUUAUUUUUCUUUAUAUAUAGAAGAAGUACGAAGGAAACAGCGCGAUAAACGAUCCCCGCUUAAGUGCCUUUCCCGCUUAUGUGACCAUAUUUUGCGGCACGAUGUUUUUCCCUAAAUUUACAUAUAAAACUGCCCGCUGAAGAGCCUCCGCCUAAGUGCCUUUCCCGCUUAAUUGACUGUAAUACUUAGGCCACAAAUACAAAAUUGUUUGCAAUAUUAACGAGGAACGAACCCCAAAUAUGAAAUUCAGAACAUUUCAAUGGCAACCAACCGUGUGGUACAACCGCUAAUCAAACAAAAAGCAACAUAUCGGCGCUACACUCAGCUCAGGUCGAUUACCUUAGCAACACUUUUGGUCGAAUUAACGAGCGUUUAUCCUGCAUAUUUGUGUGUCUAUGUCAAAAUAUAAAUCUAUUGAGAGCCCUACUAGUGCUUGCUUGCGGCAUUUUGGGGUAUAUAUUGCACAGCUGAUACAACGUUCGGUAUUAUUGGCUACAUCCUACAGGGCCAGCCAUAAGACCACCUCCAUUCCACAUGUCGGCCAAUGUAACAGCCUCUGGACAUAAAAAAGGCUUAAUUUAUGUAAACAAUUUGGUUUCUGGUGCUGCCGCUAAUAUCGUUGAUGGAAACCGCCUAUAUAGCCAAAUUUACAGCAAUGGAAAACCUGUCGACACUUCACAGAAGAUCAAUGCUAUAUGUUGCAAACAAUGUCAAUACAUAUGGGACAUUCUCUGGAAAAAAAAUCCACUUGAAAAAAAGUUCUUUAUUUUCUUUGGCAAUUAUAUAUCUUAUAGUACAUGUAAAACCUAAAAUAAAACAUGUGGUUUUAGGUCUGUGUAACGCGGGGUUGCCAGGUUUUCAUUUAAAAUUAUUACUUACUUGAAUCUAGUCUACGUAAUAAUUUAAAAAAAAAGCAAAAAUCAAAAUAACAAACAAAAAGGGAUUAAAUGUCUACUACGUCCACGUCGUUAAUCCUGGGUUACGCUAAAUUCUGAUAAUAAUAGUGCGUAAAUCAAUGAUUUUUCAUCAUGUUCUGAGUUGGUUUUUUAUUUGUAGCUCAUACAAAUAUUGCUGUCCCAAAAUUCCCUUUGGGGGGUAUAAAGGUGAUGAAAUAAGGAACAUUUUAAGAUAUUUUCGAAAAAAAUCAAAGGGGGCAUAAGUUGUUAAAAAUUCCAAAAAAAAUUUUUUUUUCAUUUUUUGCUAUGAAAUAUUAAUUUUAAAAAUUUUUACGAUAUACAGUUUCAAAGUUUGAGAAAUUCUGUACCAAAAAGUCACAUGGUGGUUUAAAAUAUGUUCAUUAGUUUUAAAGUUAUAGCGGUUCGAAAAUUUUUUUACAAUAAACUUUGGCCCCUUAUAAUAUGGCAACCCCGCGUUACACAGACCUAAAACCAUACGUUUUAUUUUAGGAUUUACAUGUACUAUAAGAUAUAUAACUGCCAAAGAAAAUAAAGAACUUUUUUUCAAGUGCCUUUUUUUUCAGAGAA